UUUCACAAAACUGAUCUUUUGACUAACGACGAGGACCCAAACUCAUCACACGACUAUUCCAUGCAUUUCAAUGAGAUAUAUAUAUGAUUUGUUUUCCAUAGCGAUGAUGAGGGCAUGCUACCACUAAAUCUUUUUAACCUUUUUUUGUUUUGUAGUCACUAUACUAUCAAAGUAUCAAAUCUCAGACGUUAAAAGGCACUUUUCUCCGUAUGGACCACUCCCAGGGCCUCCGAAAACGAACCCCGAUUGGUGUUAAGUGAGAGGUGAUGACGGGAACUUGCCCUAUGUCCUCCGACAUGCUCCUUGGCCGCAAAACGCUUUGUCAACUUGACGAGUGACUCGCACUCUUCCACGUGAUUCGAACAUACCAAAACCAUAAAACAAGCAGAAAUCGGGACUACGUACGGCCGAGAUGAAGGAACAGGGGUCCAAGCCCUGACGUCAACUAAAGAUCGAAACCGUAUUAAAGCCCACGCCUGGACCCCAUCUCACGUCAACCUCAAGAUUUUUGGAACAUCGAGUAAUACGAAUGUGUCAGACCGCUUUGAUUAUGUCUGCUGCUUGAACAGUCUAGAAGGUUUUUAAAAAUCUAAAAAGAUCCUCGUGAAAUUCGGGAUCUCCUCCUGUGAUCUCCCUACUUUCUCUUCCACUUUUUUUUUUUUUUCUGACCAACCGAACAGAAACAUGUUUCUCUUCUUUUUUUAAAAAAAAAGAGUAUAUAGAAAUGCUAUGUCAAUUACUGAUA